ACGGCUCAGUAACACGUCGGUAACCUGCCCUAAGGUCAGGGAUAGCCUCGCGAAAGUGAGAGUAACACCUGAUAGGGAAGCUCGCCUGGAAAGGCAUCUUCCCAGAAACUCGUGCCUUAGGAUGGGCCGGCGGCGGAUUAGGCUGUUGGCGGUGUAAUGGACCACCAAACCGAAGAUCCGUACGGGCCAUGAGAGUGGGAGCCCGGAGGGGGACACUGAGAUACUGGUCCCAGCCCUACGGGGUGCAGCAGGCGCGAAACCUUUUCAAUGCGCGCAAGCGUGAGAAGGGAAUUCCAAGUGCUCAAGUUUUACUUGGGCUUUUGCCAAGUGUAAAAAGCUUGGCGAAUAAGGGGUGGGUAAGACUGGUGCCAGCCGCCGCGGUAACACCAGCGCCUCGAGUGGGGAUCGCGAUUAUUGGGUCUAAAGCGUCCGUAGCAGGCCUUGUAAAUGCUUUGUGAAAUCGGCAGGCUUAACCUGUCGGCGUGCAGAGUAGACUGCAGGGCUCGAGAUCGGGAGAGGUUAGAAGUAUUCCUAGGGUACCGGUAAAAUGGGUUAAUCCUGGGAGGACUACCGAUGGCGAAGGCAUCUAACCAGAACGAUUCUGACUGUGAGGGACGAAAGCUAGGGGAGCAAAACGGAUUAGAUACCCGAGUAGUCCUAGCCGUAAACGCUGUGAGCAAGGUAUUGCGCCUCCCAUGAGGAUGCGCAGUGUCGAAGAGAAGUCGUUAAGCUC
rnacentral:rRNA from 1 species